GUCAUCGGUUCAAAUCCGAUAAGGGGCUUUUACGGUUU
rnacentral:tRNA from 2 species